CAGUCGCCGCGGGAAUACGAAGGGGGCUAGCGUUGUUCGGAAUCACUGGGCGUAAAGUGCACGUAGGCGGAUCUUUAAGUCAGGGGUGAAGUCCCGAGGCUCAACCUCGGAACUGCCUUUGAUACUGGGGAUCUUGAGUUCGGGAGAGGUGAGUGGAACUGCGAGUGUAGAGGUGAAAUUCGUAGAUAUUCGCAAGAACACCAGUGGCGAAGGCGGCUCACUGGCCCGAAACUGACGCUGAGGUGCGAAAGCGUGGGGAGCAAACAGGAUUAGAUACCCGAGUAGUCCCUGUCUCUAUACA
rnacentral:rRNA from 1 species